AUAAUCACAUUCAUGGUGCUGGUCUUGGGAGUCAGAGUUCAACAAAACUAUGGAUUUCACACAAAUCUGAUUGAUUGGCAGGUGAUGAUCAAUUUGAUCUACCGCAGUUAGAAUUCACAAGAAUACCCACAUGCACUGCAAAAUGAUGGAUUAUUUUUAGAAUGCAAUUGUAAUAGUCAAGUUCACACAAGCUUUGGGGUUUCCUGGUUAAGUGGAAAUUGAGAGGAAGCUUCUAUCGAAGAGCUGAACCAUACCUCUGGUCGAUCAUGACAUGUGAUCAAACCAAAAUGUGUGAUGUAUUUUGAGAACAACAUUGUUUUGUUCUUCACAAACACUCGGGCAUUGCAUCAUUCACUGAGUAAAGAGCGAGAUUAAACCGUAAAUAUUGUCCAGUAGUGCAUCAUGGGUACUAGAUGCAGAGAGCAUCCCAAGCAUUCCCUUAGUUUUAUUAUUUUUAUUCAUUUUUAUAACGAUGAUAAAAUUAUGACUUAGGAAUAAAAAUAAUAUAUUUGACGACACAAUGACCGUAUUACACAGUAAAACAAAAAUGGAGAAUGCAAAGAAUUUAAGGAUCGAAAACAUGCUGAACCAGGGUGAAAAAAUAUGAGGAACUGGUAAGUUACCCAAUCCAUGUAAAGCUUUAUAACUGUGAAUUAGGUAAGAAAUAUAAACAAAAUGGGAGGCAGUGGUAGUGUAGACAAAGGUAAUGUUUAAAGAGCAUCUUCAGGAGAAAAAUGAAGGUUAACAGACUGCAUCCUAAUGUUGCCUGGUAGCUUCAUGUUAGGUUCGGCAGUGGAAUGAAGGGAUGCAAGAGCAUGAACGAAGAAUUUCAAGUGUAUAUAUCCCAUAUAUGAGCUCAGAAACUGUAAAAUGAAUGUAGUACUGUAGCUGAAAACCUUCCGAUCACAGAUAGAGAGCACUUACAGAACUUUUCAAAAGGCAUAUGGAAUGCCUUACCCAUUCUUACUGUGCUUCGCCAGUUGAUAGUUUAAUUGUGAACCAGCCGGAGUCAAAAGGGUCUUUUUGUUGUAGUGAAUUGCAGAUCACGCUUAUUUAAAUUUAGACAAUGCUAAGCUCUCUCAAGCACAUUUAUCCGUAUGUAAUUAAUGUCCGUAUGCAACUACAGUACAGGAUCUACAGCCACAAAACUGUUCCAUUGAAAUCAAAAAGCAAGUUGACCAGCUAGCAAGAUAACCAUCAUUUUCUUUGUUUUUAGGCUUGUUAAUAAGUGAUUGGCUUGUAAGACAUUUAAAGGGACAGUCCAUAUUUCCACACUCCUUUCCAGUCCAGACAAUUCAUUGAUUUCUUAAACAUUAAAUGGACACCUACUGUCAUUCUAUGUGCGCUAGGUUAUGUUCCCUGCUCCUGCAUACAUUUCACUGUUAAUACAUACAAUAAUCCAAUAUUAAUGUCACUGCAUUGGUGAUAAUCGUAAUUUAAUAUGUGUUAGUUUUUUGCUCACGUUCUCAAUCAUCGGCACACAAUUUGAAGCAGUCGGCUGGAUGCCGUCAGAUCGUUUCACGGGUUUCUUUCUCUCAGAAAAACCAACAGUGUUUCGAUUUCUAGGAAGAACCGCAGGCUCUGUGAUGUCAGCUCGAGUGCACUCGCUCAGCCAUACGCACUUAAAUAGAACGCCUUGCCACAGAUAGCUUUCUGCAGCAUUCUUCUGCUCUUCAGGCAGCAGGAAGUAAAAGGUUGUAAAAGGUGACAAGAGCUCUGAAACUGAAUUGGGAGAGCAUUGUUUCGGUUUCACACUUUCUCAAUAAAUAAAUCCUAAAUCUCAGCUGGAAUUAUUGUUCCCAAUGUUCAGUCCAAAACUAGAACUUGAUAAAUAGCCCAAGAAGUUCAGUUGCAUCUGUUUUUGUGUUAUGUUCAACAAUUUCAUCUAUUCACAUCAGUAUGACAGUAUAAUUUUUUCUGGUGGUCAUUUGUGGAAAUAGGACCAUGUGCAGUAACACGUUGAAUCUUCUUUAUUCCAGCUUUGAAAUAAUGUAUUUCAGGAGGGUUAUGUCUCAUGUAAAUAUGAUAUGUGCAACUUCGUUCCUAUCUAAUGGCUAUAUGAAACAUAUGAAUACCAUGUUCUUCAAAUGAUAUAAUAGAAACAACUGAAAAAAGCAUGAGCACUUCUGAGUAAGAAAUGAGAUUUGCAGCACUGAUUGGGAAUAGACCGCAGCACUUCUCUAUUAUAAAACUGAACAGAGGCCUUCUGAAUAUUAAUGCUACCAGAUGAUGAACCAUAUUGAAGACAAGAGGGGUACAAGGCUGAUAAGAGGGGUACAAGACGAAUCUGUUAAUACACUACCUGUGGCAGUAGGUACUGAUCCAGGGAUGGUUCACUCUUUCCUGUACUCCAGUAAUGAUGAGGCAGUGCUCUAUCUCAUCUGAUCCUCUUUUUAAGCUUCCUCAUGCAUUUACAAAUAAUAGCCUACCUCACAAUUUAUUGGACUGGGAAGUUAAAUAAGCAGAGCGCUUUCUUGAAGUACACCAAAGUGUACUGCUCAGAAUCCAAAUUGUUACAAAUCAUACUGAGAAAUCUCUAUGGUGGGGCUCUGUUCGGUAAAGGAAAUCAGAGCAAUCUAGGGCCACGCCUCCUGGUUAAGUAGGCACACACCUGGGUUGUGUUAACCAAUCAGUCCAGGGCUUAAAAUCGCGCUUCUUUCUGACUGACACUGGGAACGACCGAUGCUGGGAGCCCCUGUACCGAGACUGAAACCGUACCAAGACCAAGACCAACACGGUGGGGUGCCACCUGCCCGGCGACAAUUUGGUACCAGAACGCAGGACAGCACAGUCACCCUGACGAUGGACUCAUCUCUGCCGCUGAAAAUUUCGCAAAUGCAACAGCUGCAACACUGAGCCCCCCCGCAGACUGCAGGAAACCGGUGCCAACAACGGGCGCUGGACGCCGUGCCAGCGUGGCAGGCUGCAGAUCGAGCCACCCUGAGGAAGCCCUGGCACACCCACUCUUCCCUCCCCCCGGAUCUAACUUACGCUUUCUAGGAACCAUACUUAAGAGACCUUCGAGAAAACGCAUAAUGCGGAAAGAAGCACUGCACAAGCAACACUGACAUAUGUGCAAGGCAUAUUUACAAAAAAAUAAAACUGUCUUAACAAGUGCAUUAAUAUAUAUAAAUAAAAACUUGAAUGUA